rnacentral:rRNA from 1 species
UACGGGGGGGGCAAGCGUUGUUCGGAAUUACUGGGCGUAAAGGGCUCGUAGGCGGCCAACUAAGUCAGACGUGAAAUCCCUCGGCUUAACCGGGGAACUGCGUCUGAUACUGGAUGGCUUGAGAUUGGGAGAGGGAUGCGGAAUUCCAGGUGUAGCGGUGAAAUGCGUAGAUAUCUGGAGGAACACCGGUGGCGAAGGCGGCAUCCUGGACCGGCAUUGACGCUGAGGAGCGAAAGCUAGGGGAGCAAACGGG